GGCGGGACGGGUGAGGAAUGCAUAGGAAUCUGCCCAGUUAGCGGGGGACAACUUGGGGAAACUCAAGCUAAUACCGCAUACGCCCUACGGGGGAAAGCAGGGGAUCUUCGGACCUUGCACUAUUGGAUGAGCCUAUGCCUGAUUAGCUUGUUGGUGGGGUAACGGCCUACCAAGGCGACGAUCAGUAGCUGGUCUGAGAGGACGAUCAGCCACACUGGGACUGAGACACGGCCCAGACUCCUACGGGAGGCAGCAGUGGGGAAUAUUGCACAAUGGGCGCAAGCCUGAUGCAGCAAUGCCGCGUGUGUGAAGAAGGCCUGCGGGUUGUAAAGCACUUUCAGUAGGGAGGAAACAGCANUGGGUUAAUACCCCGCUGCCUUGACGUUACCUACAGAAGAAGCACCGGCUAACUCUGUGCCA
rnacentral:rRNA from 1 species